GGCGCCCCUCGGCUCUGCGGGGUAGGGCUCGGCCGGGUGCUGAACUACAUCUCCCAGCACCGCCGCUGCGGCGGCCUGCGGGGACCGCGGUGCGGCUCAGCGGGGGCCGGCAGCGGGAGCACCCCGCGGCUCCUCACGCUCAAGUCCAGGCUCUGUCCUGCAGCCAGCAGCGGCGCUGAGGGAGCGGCCACCGCUCAGCGAGGCCCCGCGGCGGCAGGAGGGGGUGCGGGGUGUCACCCGCGCUGCUCCCGCUGGCCCCUCGCAGCCGCCCUCCCCCGUCGUGGCGGCUAAAAAUACCCCUCCGCAGCCAUGAAGUGUUGCGUGGACCUCCACUUUAAAUAGGCUCAGCUGCCAUCACUCUGCACCCGAAUUGGAAAACAAAGUACGAAGAUGAUCAAAUGAUAAGCAUUGGCAGCUGGGAAACUACUGGGAAGUGCUGUUAUUGUUUUGAGCAAGUUGUGGUUACUCUUCCCAUGAAAGCAAAGCAACAGUGUGAAACAGCUACCGAGACAGAUAAGGUGAAAAGACAAAUAGAGUUUUUUUGGGGUUAGAGUUGUGAAAUCCCCCUAGACCGGCAAACGUUGAGCACUCUGGCGCUGAGCAGGCAUGGUGCCGGGAGCGUUGGGCGCACAGCCGCGCUGAGUCCGGGGCCGGUGGGGCAGCAGCAGCUCCCUUUGAAGUGGGGGAAGCCGCAUAGCUGUGUGGAGCAGUCUUUGCAGGUGAGGUUUUGUAAGGAGCUUUACAAACCCAACAACUCUGCUGCUGAGUUGCUAAAAAAAAAGCAGGGUUGUAAAAGCAGAGGGUUGCUUUUAAAUGGCUUUAGCGGUACAGGAGAGGCAUUAAGAGCUGCAUUAAAUACCCAGAGCUAAUGCAUUUAUAAUCAAGGCAGCUGCGGGAUCCUUCAGAGCUGGGGAAGUGGGGAUGUACUUUCUGGGGCUUAUGUAAAGGAAGCAUCUGAGGCAGUCAGUGCUCAAGUGUGUGGCGCUGAGCACAUCUGGUGUGAGGUGUUAGAGACAGGUGACUGCCCUAAGAAUGGCCCUUUUGGGUCAGCAGAACCAAGCCCACCUCCCCUGGCCCAGGGAGAGUUGCAGCUGAUCUCUGAAGCAAAACAGUUGACCUUUAGCCGGCUGUAAUCAUUGCGUCGUCCACGUAGAACACGUCAGAAGCAGGUGGCCAAACUGUAGCAACAUUAAAUUAGUAGCACUUAAACCUGGAGUCUGAUCCAGGAUCACUUGCUUCUUAAACCCCCAGCUGGCUUUUUCAUCCAUGAAGAGGCCAGAACCUGCAGUAUUUUUCAGUCCUUGUGAUUAAUACACAGCAAUAACAAAACGUCUACCUUGCCCUGCUAGAAAAAUCUUUAACAAUGCAAUCAAUAUGAAAUAACUCCAGCAGCACAAUUUUACUCAUAUUGCCAAUUCAAGUCAGCUGAAAGAUUAAUCUUAAAAAAAACCCAAACAUUCUCAUUGUUGCUGACAAGCCCUGACGAUUCUUCUCCCCAGCAGAGCAAAUCAACAGGGGUAUUUUAGAGUAUGGCAAGGAGGCAGGAGGAGAUUAGAAGUAAAACUUCUUUAAUCUCUGUUGAAGGAGAAGGGGUUUGAUCUUCUCCCCUGUUGGUAGCCGUGUUCUGUGCUGCUGGCCAGCCACCAGCAACAGCACAGCUGCACCUCUGACAGGCUGGGGCUCUGCAGUCUCAUCUCCAGAGCCAAGAUCUCUGCACUGGCAAACAUCUACUCUUCCACCACACCUUGCAGAGGCUAUGUUGGCCUUACAAAAGGACCACCUUUCUUCCACUAAAACACUGAAGUUUGGUUCCCUAAAUACUUAACAGUGCUUUUAGUCUAGAUCAGUGUGAUAUACUGAUCAGUACAAAGGCCAAAAUACAGUUUAUUUAAGAGGUUGUUUAAACAAAAAUAUCUAAGAAAAGUUUUCCUAACCUGUAUCAGCAUGGGGGAGAAUUUAAGAGCUGUAGAAAGCAAGACUCAAAAUUUCCAGCACUGUCUUGGUCCUUUUCCUCCUCUCUGCUCAAUGAACGUUGCUGUUCCAUACAGGUUUAUCCUGACAGUGGCCGUGCAGCUCUGUAAAGCACAGUUCUGGAAUAGCACAGGCUCUUUUUUGCCAUUUUGCUAUAUAGGAAGUAGCUCUAGUGUGGGAGCCUGGGCUCUGAUUCUGAAAAGAAAUAAAAGUUAUUUUUCCCGUUGUGUUCA